rnacentral:rRNA from 1 species
CACCGCCGCGGUAAUACGUAGGGUGCGAGCGUUAAUCGGAAUUACUGGGCGUAAAGCGUGCGCAGGCGGUUGUGUAAGACAGGUGUGAAAUCCCCGGGCUUAACCUGGGAACUGCGCUUGUGACUGCACAGCUAGAGUAUGGCAGAGGGGGGUGGAAUUCCACGUGUAGCAGUGAAAUGCGUAGAGAUGUGGAGGAACACCGAUGGCGAAGGCAGCCCCCUGGGCCAAUACUGACGCUCAUGCACGAAAGCGUGGGGAGCAAACAGGAUUAGAUACCCCCGUAGUCCCUGUCUCUUAUACA